rnacentral:rRNA from 1 species
UACGGAGGGUGCGAGCGUUGUCCGGAAUCACUGGGCGUAAAGGGCGCGUAGGCGGCCUGAUAAGUAGGAGGUGAAAUCCUGCGGCUUAACCGCAGGGCUGCCUUCUAAACUGUCAGGCUAGAGCACGGUAGAGGCAGAUGGAAUUCCCGGUGUAGCGGUGGAAUGCGUAGAGAUCGGGAGGAACACCAGUGGCGAAGGCGACACGCUGGGUCAUACCUGACGCUAAAACGCGACAGCAUGGGGAGCGAACGGG